rnacentral:rRNA from 1 species
AGGAUAAACGCUGGCGGCGUGCCUAACACAUGCAAGUCGAACGCCCUACGCAAGUAGGGAGUGGCGGACGGGUGAGGAACACGUGGGUUAUCUGCCUUUCGGUGAGGAAUACCAGCGAGAAAUCGCUGACAAUACCGCAUACGGUUCUCUCGUGAGAGAGAACGAAAGUCGUAAGACGCCGGGAGAUGAGCCUGCGCCCGAUUAGUUUGUUGGUGGGGUAAAAGCCUACCAAGACUACAAUCGGUAGCUGGUCUGAGAGGACGAUCAGCCACACUGGGAUUGAGAACGGCCCAGACUCCGUACGGGGGGCAGCAGUGAGGAAUUUUCGUCAAUGGGGGAAACCCUGAACGAGCAACGCCGCGUGCAGGAAGAAGGUUUUCGGAUCGUAAACUGUCUUUUCUGUGGGAAGAGAACGGACGGUACCACGAGGAAGAACGCCCCGGACUAACCGUACGCGCCAGCACGCCGC